GUCGACUGGUGUAGUGGUUAAUGACCCUGACUGCUAAUCCGAAGGUACCGGGUUCGAUUCCCGGCUGGGGCA
rnacentral:tRNA from 1 species